ACCCCAGCUUUGACCUCUGGCUGGGUUUCAGGCUCUCGGCUGGGAGUCACACAGUGUGGACAGCAGUGCGGACAGCCGGAGAGGCCGGGAGGGCUAACCCGCCCUGGAAGUCCGUGGAUGGCAUCGCUAGUCUUGCUUUUGCCAAAGGGGAAGAUCAGAACCUCUUCUGAGAUCCAAGCCCGGUGCCUUUUGGCUCCAAGGGUGUGUCUGCAGGUGGCCGUCCUUCCUGCCUUCCCUCCCGCUGGGGGCCCCCCUGCGCUCCCAGCAUUUCCCUGGAUGUCCAGCAGGGGACACUCACCCAUUAAACCAGGGACAGGGCUGUGCUCUGGGAAUCCUUCCCCAGGAAAGAGGGAUCCUGGCAAGUUCCUGGUGCAUAUUCCUUGGUUACACAUCAGCCUCUUCACCUUGACUUUUCUCAGCCUCAGAGUUUUGGGCCAAAUCCUGGGGAGUUUGCAAAAUUGUGUUUUCGUUUUCAGCUCCCAGAGUUUCACUGCUUAUUAAAAAGUGAUGAGAAACGAUCAUAUGAAAGUCCCUUCCC